GACGGGGGGGGCAAGUGUUCUUCGGAAUGACUGGGCGUCAAGGGCACGUAGGCGGUGAAUCGGGUUGAAAGUGAAAGUCGCCAAAAAGUGGCGGAAUGCUCUCGAAACCAAUUCACUUGAGUGGGACAGAGGAGAGUGGAAUUUCGUGUGUAGGGGUGAAAUCCGUAGAUCUACGAAGAAAGGCCAAAAGCGAAGGCAGCUCUCUGGGUCCCUACCGACGCUGGGGUGCGAAAGCAUGGGGAGCGAACAGG
rnacentral:rRNA from 1 species